GGCUGCAACUCGCCUGUAUGAAGUUGGAAUUGCUAGUAAUCGCGGAUCAGCAUGCCGCGGUGAAUACGUUCCCGGGCCUUGUACACACCGCCCGUCACACCAUGAGAGCCGGUAAUACCCGAAGUCAGUAUCCUAACCGCAAGGAGGGAGCUGCCGAAGGUAGGAUUGGCGAUUGGGGUGAAGUCGUAACAAGGUACC
rnacentral:rRNA from 1 species